AUAGUGAAUCCAUAGAAUACAAAUCCCAUAUAGAUGUUACAUACUAAGAAUCUAUGAUUAUAAACUCCAAUAGACAAUAAUUUAAGUUGUGCUCCACUCUGCCCAGCACAAGUGAAACAGUACUAAACCCACUCAACAUUCAGACCCAAUUAACAAUUUUCUUCCCCUAUUUUCAUCAGGCAACUGACACAAGUAUGCUAACAACUUAUUUGAUACUACCAUUUAUCAUUCGUCAACAUCGUACAUCCAUGAUCAUUGCUCAUUAUUAUGUUCCAAAUGUACAUUAAG
rnacentral:misc_RNA from 1 species